rnacentral:tRNA from 1 species
UUGCGCGUGGGCAACCCGGUCGGGCCCGGUGCGCCGGCCACCGGGCUGCCCGGCAGGAUCACGGCCCUGCUGCGGGAG